rnacentral:rRNA from 1 species
AUUGAACGCUGGCGGCAGGCUUAACACAUGCAAGUCGAGCGGAGAUGAGGUGCUUGCACCUUAUCUUAGCGGCGGACGGGUGAGUAUGCUUAGGAAUCUGCCUAUUAGUGGGGGACAACAUUCCGAAAGGAAUGCUAAUACCGCAUACGUCCUACGGGAGAAAGCAGGGGAUCUUCGGACCUUGCGCUAAUAGAUGAGCCUAAGUCGGAUUAGCUAGUUGGUGGGGUAAAGGCCUACCAAGGCGACGAUCUAUAGCGGGUCUGAGAGGAUGAUCCGCCACACUGGGAAUGAGACACGGCCCAGACUCCUACGGGAGGCAGCAGUGGGGAAUAUUGGACAAUGGGGGGAACCCUGAUCCAGCCAUGCCGCGUGUGUGAAGAAGGCCUUAUGGUUGUAAAGCACUUUAAGCGAGGAGGAGGCUACUGAGACUAAUACUCUUGGAUAGUGGACGUUACUCGCAGAAUAAGCACCGGCUAACUCUGUGCCAGCAGCCGCGGUAACAC